ACGGGUGUAGCUCAAUUGGCAGAGCAGCGGUCUCCAAAACCGCAGGUUGAGUGUUCGAUUCGCUCCGCCCGUGCAA
rnacentral:tRNA from 1 species